UCCGGUGAUCAUGGCGAGGGAUCAGCACGCGAAACCAUUCCGAACUCGAUUUGUGAAAGCCCUUAGCGCCGAUGGUACUUCGUCUGAAGGCGUGGGAGAGUAGGUCGUCGCCGGGC
rnacentral:rRNA from 1 species